AUUGAACGCUGGCGGCAGGCCUAACACAUGCAAGUCGAACGGCAGCACAGGAGAGCUUGCUCUCUGGGUGGCGAGUGGCGGACGGGUGAGGAAUAUAUCGGAAUCUACCCUUUCGUGGGGGAUAACGUAGGGAAACUUACGCUAAUACCGCAUACGAACUGAGGUUGAAAGCGGCGGACCGCAAGGCGUCGCGCGGAUGGAUGAGCCGAUAUCCGAUUAGCUAGUUGGCGGGGUAAGGGCCCACCAAGGCGACGAUCGGUAGCUGGUCUGAGGGGAUGAUCAGCCACACUGGAACUGAGACACGGUCCAGACUCCUACGGGAGGCAGCAGUGGGGAAUAUUGGACAAUGGGCGCAAGCCUGAUCCAGCCAUGCCGCGUGUGUGAAGAAGGCCUUCGGGUUGUAAAGCACUUUUGUUGGGAAAGAAAAGCGGUCGGUUAAUACCCGGUCGUUCUGACGGUACCCAAAGAAUAAGCACCGGCUAACUUCGUGCCAGCAGCCGCGGUAAAAC
rnacentral:rRNA from 1 species